CUCGGACCCGGCAGAAUGGCUCCUGCAAAGAAGGGUGGCGAGAAGAAAAAGGGCCGUUCUGCCAUCAACAUUCACAAGCGCAUCCAUGGAGUGGGCUUCAAGAAGUGUGCCCCUCGGGCACUCAAAGAGAUUCGGAAAUUUGCUAUGAAGGAGAUGGGAACUCCAGAUGUGCGCAUUGAUACCAGGCUCAACAAAGCUGUCUGGGCCAAAGGAAUAAGAAAUGUCCCAUACUGAAUCCGUGUGCGGUUGUCCAGAAAACGUAAUGAGGAUGAAGAUUCACCAAAUAAGCUCUAUACUUUGGUUACCUAUGUACCCGUUACCACUUUCAAAAAUCUACAGACAGUCAAUGUGGAUGAGAACUAAUCGCUGAUCGUCAAAUAUAUCAAAUAAACUUAAAAAAAUU